UACCAGCACCCCGAGUGGUCGGGACGAUUAUUGGGCCUAAAGCAUCCGUAGCCGGCCUUACAAGUCCUCCGUUAAAUCCAGCUGCUUAACAGAUGGGCUGCGGAGGAUACUAUAAGACUAGGAGGCAGGAGAGGCAAGCGGUACUCAGUGGGUAGGGGUAAAAUCCGUUGAUCCAUUGAAGACCACCAGUGGCGAAGGCGGCUCACUGGACUGGUAUUGACGCUGAGGUGCGAAAGCGUGGGGAGCAAACAGG
rnacentral:rRNA from 1 species